rnacentral:rRNA from 1 species
AGCGAACGCUGGCGGCAUGCCUAACACAUGCAAGUCGAACGAGACCUUCGGGUCUAGUGGCGCACGGGUGCGUAACGCGUGGGAACCUGCCUUUAGGUUCGGAAUAACUCAGAGAAAUUUGAGCUAAUACCGGAUGAUGUCUUCGGACCAAAGAUUUAUCGCCUUUAGAUGGGCCCGCGUUGGAUUAGCUAGUUGGUGGGGUAAAGGCCUACCAAGGCGACGAUCCAUAGCUGGUCUGAGAGGAUGAUCAGCCACACUGGGACUGAGACACGGCCCAGACUCCUACGGGAGGCAGCAGCGGGGAAUAUUGGACAAUGGGCGAAAGCCUGAUCCAGCAAUGCCGCGUGAGUGAUGAAGGCCUUAGGGUUGUAAAGCUCUUUUACCCGAGAUGAUAAUGACAGUAUCGGGAGAAUAAGCUCCGGCUAACUCCGUG